UAACUGAAAUGAAAACAGAGAAUCGACAAAGCAUUAUGAGGAUGAUAAAUGCAGGAAGCGGCUUCUAGAACACUCCAUAAAGAUUUGCAGAUCCCGCAUAUAUCAAAGGGGAGUCUGUAAGUGCACCAAAGUUUGAUAAAUGUCGGAUACUGCUCAAGUUUCAACAUUGAAGGACUGAUCUUGUAAUUAUGUGAAAGUGUCACAAGUUUGGACAAGGGUUCUUAU
rnacentral:lncRNA from 1 species